GACGAACGCUGGCGGCGUGCUUAACACAUGCAAGUCGAGCGGUAAGGCCCUCGGGUACGACGAGCGGCGAACGGGUGAGUAACACGUGGGUGACCUGCCUUUAGCUCUGGGAGUAAGCCUGGGAAACUGGGUCUAAUACCGGAUAUGACCUCAUGACGCAUGUUGUGGGGUGGAAAGCCUUGUGCGGCUAGAGAUGGGCCCGCGGCCUAUCAGC
rnacentral:rRNA from 1 species